UACGUAGGGCGCAAGCGUUGUCCGGAAUUAUUGGGCGUAAAGGGCGCGUAGGCGGUCGGAUAAGUCUUGUGUGAAAUCUUCGGGCUCAACUCGAAGUCUGCACAGGAAACUAUCUGGCUUGAGCGUGGGAGAGGUGAGUGGAAUUCCUGGUGUAGCGGUGAAAUGCGUAGAUAUCAGGAGGAACACCUGUGGCGAAAGCGGCUCACUGGACCACAACUGACGCUGAGGCGCGAAAGCUAGGGGAGCAGACAGG
rnacentral:rRNA from 1 species